rnacentral:rRNA from 1 species
AUGGAGGAGGCGCUCAUCUCGCCGGAGCUCCGCGACGUGCUGGCCAAGGUGGCCGUGUUCCUGCUCGUGCAGGGGCUGGUGUACCUCAUCCUCACCAACUCCUCCGACGUCUUCUCCAAGAGCAAGAGGCUCCGGUCCCUCAGCUUCCGGCCCAUGCGGUCCAUGAGCGUGCGCCGCGUCCUGGCGCCGCUCUCCGACGUCCCCGUCGGCACCGACGACGACUCUCCUUUGCCUUCGUCGGCUUCUUCGUGGUCGUCGCGCCGCUGGGGUAGCCGCAAAGAGGAUUGA